AGUGAACGCUGGCGGUAGGCCUAACACAUGCAAGUCGAACGGCAGCACAGGAGAGCUUGCUCUCUGGGUGGCGAGUGGCGGACGGGUGAGGAAUACAUCGGAAUCUACUCUGUCGUGGGGGAUAACGUAGAGAAACUUACGCUAAUACCGCAUCCGACCUACGGGUGAAAGCAGGGGACCUUCGGGCCUUGCGCGAUUGAAUGAGCCGAUGUCGGAUUAUCUAGUUGGCGGGGUAAAGGCCCACCAAGGCGACGAUCCGUAGCUGGUCUGAGAGGAUGAUCAGCCACACUGGAACUGAGACACGGUCCAGACUCCUACGGGAGGCAGCAGUGGGGAAUAUUGGACAAUGGGCGCAAGCCUGAUCCAGCCAUACCGCGUGGGUGAAGAAGGCCUUUGGGUUGUAAAGCCCUUUUGUCGGGAAAGAAAUCCAGCUGGCUAAUACCCGGUUGGGGUGACGGUACCCAAAGAAUAAGCACCGGCUAACUUCGUGCCAGCCGCCGCAGUAA
rnacentral:rRNA from 1 species